rnacentral:rRNA from 1 species
AUUGAACGCUGGCGGCAGGCCUAACACAUGCAAGUCGAACGAGUGGCGGACGGGUGAGUAAUGUCUGGGAAACUGCCUGAUGGAGGGGGAUAACUACUGGAAACGGUAGCUAAUACCGCAUACCAUCAGAUGUGCCCAGAUGGGAUUAGCUUGUUGGUGGGGUAACGGCUCACCAAGGCGACGAUCCCUAGCUGGUCUGAGAGGAUGACCAGCCAACAUGGAACGUAGACAAGGUCCCGACUCCCACGGGAGGCCGUAGGUGGGAAUAUUUGACCAUGGGCGGCAGCCUGAUGCAGCCAUGCCGCGUGUAUGAAGAAGGCCUUUGGGUUGGAAAGUAAUUUCAGGGGGGAGGCGUUAACUGCAGAAGAAGGAACGGCUAACUCCGUGCCAGCCGCCGCGGUAAUAC